CAAGGGAUAUUUUAAUAAAAUAUCAGUUUUGGAGAUUGAAGAUAAGGGUAGACCUUUUCCUUGA
rnacentral:tRNA from 1 species